rnacentral:rRNA from 1 species
AUUGAACGCUGGCGGCAGGCUUAACACAUGCAAGUCGAGCGGGGUGAUGGUGCUUGCACUAUCACUUAGCGGCGGACGGGUGAGUAAUGCUUAGGAAUCUGCCUAUUAGUGGGGGACAACAUCUCGAAAGGGAUGCUAAUACCGCAUACGUCCUACGGGAGAAAGCAGGGGAUCACUUGUGACCUUGCGCUAAUAGAUGAGCCUAAGUCGGACUAGCUAGUUGGUGGGGUAAAGGCCUACCAAGGCGACGAUCUGUAGCGGGUCUGAGAGGAUGAUCCGCCACACUGGGACUGGGACACGGCCCAGACUCCUACGGGAGGCAGCAGUGGGGAAUAUUGGACAAUGGGGGGAACCCUGAUCCAGCCAUGCCGCGUGUGUGAAGAAGGCCUUAUGGUUGUAAAGCACUUUAAGCGAGGAGGAGGCUCUUUUGGUUAAUACCCAAGAUGAGUGGACGUUACUCGCAGAAUAAGCACCGGCUAACUCUGUGCCAGCAGCCGCCGUAA